GUUAUACUUCCACAAGCUAAGGAAUUCCUGGGCCCUCCAGAAGCUAGAAAAACAAAAUGAGUUUUCAUCUCUAGAGGUUUCAAUAAAGAAUGAUCCUGCUGGCACCUUGACUCUAGACUUACAGCUUCUAAAACUGAAAACAGCUCACAAGCUCACAUUCUUUCCUGAGGCAGGGAGGUAACCAGAACGACUGGAGUGGUCUGGGUAAGGAAGAUACUCAGAAUGGUGGGGACUUUGGUGACCGGGAGAGAACAUGACACAUCAGAAGGGGAUGACCGUAACCUAGAAUUAUCCCAGCAACUCUAAGCUGAGUUGCUUGUUUCGAUGAUGGGCUCCUGAUGUAAUGUGAAGAAGAAGAAAAAUAGGCCAACUGAUGGAAAGACAGGCCCAGGAAGGUUAAGGGACUUCCCAAAGUCACCAAGCUAUUAAACGUGGAGCUAGGACUGAAUCCCAGCAGUUUGGCUCCAGAGUUCUCAAAUCACCUCAAUUCAGCUUCUCCAGCUGCCAAGGGAGAGACACAGACCAGGCCUUUUGACGUCAGGAGCCAUUCCAG
rnacentral:lncRNA from 1 species